rnacentral:tRNA from 1 species
CAGAGAAUAGUUUAAUAAAAAUAUUAAUUUUGGAGAUUAAUGAUAGGAGUAUUCUUUUCUCUGA